rnacentral:rRNA from 1 species
UACGUAGGGUGCAGGCGUUAAUCGGAAUUACUGGGCGUAAAGCGUGCGCAGGCGGUUUCUUAAGUCAGAUGUGAAAGCCCCGGGCUUAACCUGGGAACUGCGUUUGAAACUGGGAGACUUGAGUGUGGCAGAGGGGGGUGGAAUUCCACGUGUAGCAGUGAAAUGCGUAGAUAUGCGGAGGAACACCGAUGGCGAAGGCAAUCCCCUGGGCCUGCACUGACGCUCAUGCACGAAAGCGUGGGGAGCAAACAGG